AUCUAGCUGAAGAGUCCCAAAUAGGACGAAACGCGCCUGCUGGAU
rnacentral:hammerhead_ribozyme from 1 species